UGGGGGAUAUUGCACAAUGGGCGCAAGCCUGAUGCAGCGACGCCGCGUGGGGGAUGAAGGCCUUCGGGUUGUAAACUUCUUUUGCUCUGAACAAGGCGCACCAUGGGGUGUGGUGAGUGUAGGGGUUGAUUAGCGCCGGCUAACUACGUGCCAGCAGCCGCGGUAAUACGUAGGGCGCGAGCGUUGUCCGGAAUUAUUGGGCGUAAAGGGCUUGUAGGUGGCUGGUUGCGUCUGUCGUGAAAGCUCAUGGCUUAACUGUGGGUUUGCGGUGGGUACGGGCUGGCUUGAGUGCAGUAGGGGAGGCUGGAAUUCCUGGUGUAGCGGUGGAAUGCGCAGCUAUCAGGAGGAAUACCGGUGGCGAAGGCGGGUCUCUGGGCUGUUACUGACACUGAGGAGCGAAAGCAUGGGGAGCGAACAGG
rnacentral:rRNA from 1 species